CGAGAAGAUGGUACAGGAAUCAGUGUGUGAACAUGUCCUGAAGAUCAGGUGGCAUUACAAUUGGCUACAGUAGCAAGUCAAUGUGUGGUGGUAAAGGUGGGGAAACGGUUGUUCCACAUCCCCCCCGUAGCACACACUACCUGUGGGUUUCCCUUCAGUUGGUGUUCUGGGUUGGGGCAGCUGAACCUGAGCUCAUGGCCGUACUGUAUAACACCAUCAUCAUCUGGCAGACCGCUCACAACCACCCGUUCAUCUGUAGCCUCGGGGACACAACUCACCA